AGAUUGCUUCGGUGAUUGACCUAGCGGCGGACGGGUGAGUAAUACUUAGGAAUCUGCCUAUUAAUGGGGGACAACAUCUCGAAAGGGAUGCUAAUACCGCAUACGCCCUACGGGGGAAAGCAGGGGAUCACUUGUGACCUUGCGUUAAUAGAUGAGCCUAAGUCGGAUUAGCUAGUUGGUGGGGUAAAGGCCUACCAAGGCGACGAUCUGUAGCGGGUCUGAGAGGAUGAUCCGCCACACUGGGACUGAGACACGGCCCAGACUCCUACGGGAGGCAGCAGUGGGGAAUAUUGGACAAUGGGGGGAACCCUGAUCCAGCCAUGCCGCGUGUGUGAAGAAGGCCUUAUGGUUGUAAAGCACUUUAAGCGAGGAGGAGGCUCUCUUGGUUAAUACCCAAGAUGAGUGGACGUUACUCGCAGAAUAAGCACCGGCUAACUCUGUGCCAGCAGCCGCGGUAAUACAGAGGGUGCGAGCGUUAAUCGGAUUUACUGGGCGUAAAGCGUGCGUAGGCGGCUUUUUAAGUCGGAUGUGAAAUCCCCGAGCUUAACUUGGGAAUUGCAUUCGAUACUGGGAAGCUAGAGUAUGGGAGAGGAUGGUAGAAUUCCAGGUGUAGCGGUGAAAUGCGUAGAGAUCUGGAGGAAUACCGAUGGCGAAGGCAGCCAUCUGGCCUAAUACUGACGCUGAGGUACGAAAGCAUGGGGAGCAAACAGGAUUAGAUACCCUGGUAGUCCAUGCCGUAAACGAUGUCUACUAGCCGUUGGGGCCUUUGAGGCUUUAGUGGCGCAGCUAACGCGAUAAGUAGACCGCCUGGGGAGUACGGUCGCAAGACUAAAACUCAAAUGAAUUGACGGGGGCCCGCACAAGCGGUGGAGCAUGUGGUUUAAUUCGAUGCAACGCGAAGAACCUUACCUGGUUCUUGACAUAGUAAGAACUUUCCAGAGAUGGGAUUGGUUGCCUUCGGGAACUUACAUACAGGUGCUGCAUGGCUGU
rnacentral:rRNA from 1 species